CACAGAGAUCACUAGCUUUCAGAGUUAAAGCAUCUUUUGCAGGUUGAAAUGCCUCUGAUGGUGUCAUCAGGUGUUCAGGUAUCUUUCUGAGUGGCUCACACAGCAAGAGGCAUGAAUCUUUUUAAAGUUUAUAUCAUGAUGUCCAGCU